GUCCACAUAAAUAUCCUAAAGGCAUCAAAUCCUAUGUGAUUUUGGAAACUAAGCAGGAUUGGGCCUGAUUAGUACUUGGAUGGGAAACCACCAGUUAAUAAUUACAACCAGGAGCUGUAGGCU
rnacentral:rRNA from 11 species